rnacentral:rRNA from 1 species
UACGUAGGGUGCGAGCGUUAAUCGGAAUUACUGGGCGUAAAGCGUGCGCAGGCGGUCUGUUAAGACCGAUGUGAAAUCCCCGGGCUUAACCUGGGAACUGCAUUGGUGACUGGCAGGCUUUGAGUGUGGCAGAGGGAGGUAGAAUUCCACGUGUAGCAGUGAAAUGCGUAGAGAUGUGGAGGAACACCGAUGGCGAAGGCAGCCCCCUGGGCCAACACUGACGCUCAGGCACGAAAGCGUGGGGAGCAAACAGG